GCACUAGUGCUACUGCACCCACCUCUGGGUACUAACAUGCCCUGCACCCAGGACCAGUGCCACUGCACCACCACUUCCCUCCACCAGGCAGCCCUUCCCCCCUGGCACCCACUCUCUGUGCACAGGAGUCCCCUUCCCUCUCUACCCCCAUGCAGAGUGCCCAGCCCUGCAAAUGCACAGAUCCAUCCCAGACCACUGUCACACACCGGCAGACACUGAACAGCCAACCUGAGCAGCAGCAGAUAGGAGAAUAAAAGGGAAUUUGAAUGAUGGCAGAUUAUUAAAUAACUAAGAACGUCACAUUUAUGUAACACUUUGGAGCGCAGGAGAUGUACAGGGCCUUGAAUACUGGGAUGAGCACCUUUAUACCCGGGUAACUGCCCUGCAAAGUUGCACCCGUUUAACUGUUGGUUUCUAAACCAAGAUAGAUGACAGCAGUCCAAAAACCAUGUGUAGAGCAGCCCAAAUUCCUCACCCUGUGCCACCCCAGUCAGCAAUGCUGUCCCUAUUGCACACACAGGCCUUCUCAACAUUAGGAAACAUUCUUGUAUAGAAACACAAAUGUUAAGGAUCUAGUUAGCUGAGGCAAUGCUGACCCCAACUUUGUAGUCAAUGUAGACAAGGACCAUAGUGUCAGCUAGCCAUGGUUAACCCCACCUGGUACCAGGAUCUGGCCUGGGAGGGCAUGCAAUUUUUGCUACAAGUCCCCCAUUUCCUCAUUAGGUUGCAGUUGUGAAGGUGCUUGUUUUUGUAGGAUGAAGGGCUUCUGCAACAGGCUGACCUUUUUGAGGAAUAGGCUAAACCUGUUGGAGAACCAGAAUUUGGGACCUUUCCAAAAUCAUGCAGUCUGGAAAGCUACACGUAUUUUCCUUUGAGUAGAGAUAUGCCAUGCCAUUGCUAACUCCUGACAAAAAAAGCUCAGUUCUACUAGACUUCAGCCCUGCGAUGUGCAGGAGAGGGUAUGCUAUGUUAACCAUUGGCCUUUUCAGUGCCUAAGAUUACAGUCCAGAUCUAGGUUCCAAAGGUCUGGUCGUCUUCUUGCUCCAGUGGGAUACAGACUUUGAUGCUUUUCCUCCAUUCUUUAAAUGUUUGUCCUUGAGCUAAUGCAUCACAACGCAUUUCCUGGCAACCAAGAGAACUACUUCCAAUAAUUUUGUCUGAUAUUUGCACAGUCCCACUGCUGCCAGAUUGUGAGUUAUACAAACUCUUUUAAUACAGAGUUUAUAAUUCAAACAUGCCUUAUAAGUAAACAAU